UCCUCUAUAGCUCAAUUGGCAGAGCACGGAGCUGUUAACUCUGGGGUUCCUGGUUCGAGUCCAGGUGGAGGAG
rnacentral:tRNA from 1 species